CGUCGCGCGGUCACGGUGUUCUGCUGUCACGCGAGCCGCUGAGUGGAGGCAGGACGAUCGUAACGGACACCAUCAACCAGCUCGUCGUGUUUUCCCCGCAUCUCCAGCGCGAUACAGACCGCCGGGCCGCCGCUUCGUGUCGCCGGUUGGCAGUCUAGAAGCCCGCUGCGAGUGGUUCGACCUGCCGGUGAUGUGCUCCGGUAUUUGAAUGAUCUAGCUAGCCAGCCAGCUAGCUAGCUAGCUGUUCAGCUAGCUUUACGCCGCGCGACUCGGAGUUUACGUUAAAUUAUCGAAAGAUCUUCUCGUUAACGCGUCCGGCUGCGUUAAUCUCCCGCACCUCCACACCGCGGGCAGUUUUAACUUUGGCGGAUCGUUCCAGGAGGCGAAGCGCGUCGCGUCUAAUCCCAGCUCCACAGGGAUUGAAUGAAAUAACGUUAGCUUGUCGUGAGCAGCGGAAACGAGCCAGCGAACCGGGAUCACGUCAACCCGUCCAGCCGCCGCUUCGCCCAGCGACACGCAGCCGACCGAGCAGAGGCCAUCCGGGCUGACCAGCACACGGCGGGCUCGGUAGAGGCGGCAGCGAACGACCGGAGCAACGAACGGAGCGAGCUAGCCGCGGCUACACGUCAGGUUGGCCGUCUUGAGCCCGGAGUGAGCGGCUGACCAGCGUCGGUGGUUUUCUGCGGAUCAGGCCGGACUCGGGACAGGAGCCGCAAACAUGCCGGCCGUGUCGAAAGGAGACGGGAUGCGGGGCUUGGCCGUGUUCAUCUCGGACAUCAGAAACUGUAAGAGCAAGGAGGCCGAGAUCAAGCGGAUCAACAAAGAACUGGCCAACAUCCGCUCCAAGUUCAAGGGGGACAAGGCUCUGGACGGCUACAGCAAGAAGAAGUAUGUCUGCAAGCUGCUCUUCAUCUUCCUGCUGGGCCACGACAUCGACUUCGGACACAUGGAGGCAGUCAACCUGCUGAGCUCCAACAAGUACACAGAGAAACAGAUCGGCUACCUGUUCAUCUCGGUGCUGGUAAACAGCAACAGCGAGCUGAUCCGCCUGAUCAACAAUGCCAUCAAGAACGACCUGUCCAGCCGGAACCCCACCUUCAUGUGCCUGGCUCUGCACUGCAUCGCCAACGUGGGCAGCCGGGAGAUGGCCGAGGCCUUCGCCAGCGAGAUCCCUCGCAUCCUGGUAGCUGGGGACACCAUGGACAGCGUGAAGCAGUCCGCCGCCCUCUGCCUGCUGCGGCUCUAUAAGACGUCUCCUGACCUGGUGCUGAUGGGGGAGUGGACCUCACGGGUGGUGCACCUGCUGAACGACCAGCACAUGGGUGUGGUGACUGCAGCCAUCUCUCUCAUCACCUGCCUGAGCCAGAAGAACCCAGACGAGUUCAAGACCUGCGUGUCUUUAGCCGUGUCCCGGCUCAGCAGAAUCGUGUCGUCGGCCUCCACCGACCUGCAGGACUACACCUACUACUUCGUGCCGGCGCCGUGGCUGUCCUGCAAGCUGCUGCGCCUGCUGCAGUGCUACCCUCCGCCCGAAGACGGCGCCGUCAAGGGCCGGCUGGUGGAGUGUCUGGAGACCAUCCUCAACAAGGCCCAGGAGCCGCCCAAGUCCAAGAAGGUGCAGCACUCCAACGCCAAGAACGCCAUCUUGUUCGAGGCGAUCUCACUGAUCAUCCACUACGACAGCGAGCCCAACCUGCUGGUGCGAGCCUGUAACCAGCUGGGUCAGUUCCUGCAGCACCGGGAGACCAACCUGCGCUACCUGGCUCUGGAGAGCAUGUGCACGCUGGCCAGCUCCGAGUUCUCCCACGAGGCCGUCAAGACGCACAUCGAGACCGUCAUCAACGCCCUCAAGACGGAGCGGGAUGUGAGCGUGCGGCAGCGGGCGGCCGACCUGCUCUACGCCAUGUGCGACCGCAGCAACGCCAAGCAGAUCGUGGCUGAGAUGCUGAGUUACCUGGAGACUGCAGACUACUCCAUCCGAGAGGAGAUGGUGCUGAAAGUGGCCAUCCUGGCAGAGAAGUACGCCGUGGAUUACUCCUGGUACGUCGACACCAUCCUCAACCUCAUCCGCAUCGCCGGCGACUACGUCAGCGAGGAGGUGUGGUACCGCGUCAUUCAGAUCGUCAUCAACCGCGACGACGUGCAGGGCUACGCCGCCAAGACCGUGUUCGAGGCCUUGCAAGCUCCUGCCUGCCAUGAGAACAUGGUGAAGGUGGGAGGCUAUAUCCUGGGAGAGUUUGGUAACCUGAUCGCCGGCGACCCCCGCUCCAGUCCCCUGGUCCAGUUCAACCUCCUGCACUCCAAGUUCCACCUGUGCUCGGUGCCGACCCGCGCCCUGCUGCUGUCGGCCUACAUCAAGUUCAUCAACCUGUUCCCGGAGACCAAGGCCACCAUCCAGGAGGUGCUGCGCUGCGACAGCCAGAUCCGCAACUCGGACGUGGAGCUGCAGCAGCGCGCCGUGGAGUACCUCAAGCUGUCCUCCAUCGCCAGCACCGACGUCCUGGCCACCGUCCUGGAGGAGAUGCCUCCCUUCCCGGAGCGGGAGUCGUCCAUCCUGGCGAAGCUGAAGAAGAAGAAGGGCCCCGGCGCCGUGUCCGUGACGGAGCUGGAGGACAACAAGAGGGAGGGCGGCGAGCUGAACGGAGGCGGCGAGCGGGGGCCGGACACGGCGGCCAUGGCGGCCUCCAACGCUUCCACCCCGUCCCCCUCGGCGGACCUGCUGGGGAUCCGCUCGGCCGCGCCCGUCAGCGCCGCCCCGGCCGGCGCCGGCAGCCUGCUGGUGGACGUCUUCUCCGAGGCGGGGCCGGCCGCGCCCUCGGCCGCCGUGAACGACGACGGCUUCCUCAGAGAUCUGGAACAGCCCACCGAGACCUCCGACUCCAUAUUGGUGGAGGGUUCUGGUGACUCGGACUCUGCUCCUCCCUCUGAGGAUCCUGCUCCUCCUCUGCCUGAGGCAGACGAACUUCUUAACAAGUUUGUGUGCAAGAACAACGGCGUGCUGUUCGAGAACCAGCUACUACAGAUCGGCAUCAAGUCCGAGUACCGUCAGAACCUGGGGAGGAUGUACCUGUUCUACGGGAACAAGACGUCGGUGCAGUUCGCCAGUUUCACCACCACGGUCAGCUGUCCCGGAGAGCUGCAGUCUCAGCUGAAUGUUCAGACCAAGCCGGUGGAGCCCCUGGUGGAGGGAGGAGCUCAGAUCCAGCAGGUCCUCAACAUCGAGUGUCUGACCGACUUCUCCGACGCGCCGCUGCUCAACAUCAAGUUCAGAUAUGGAGGGGCUCUGCAGAACUUGACCCUCAAGCUUCCCGUCACCAUCAACAAGUUCUUCCAGCCGACUGAGAUGGCCUCUCACGACUUCUUCCAGCGCUGGAAACAGCUCAGCCAGCCGCAGCAGGAAGCACAGAAGAUAUUCAAGGCCAACCACAGCAUGGACACUGAGGUCCUGAAGGCCAAGCUGCUGGGUUUAGGAACGGCCCUGCUGGACAACGUUGAUCCAAACCCAGAGAACUACGUGUGUGCCGGAGUCAUCCAGACCAAGGGCCAGCAGGUGGGCUGCCUGCUGAGACUGGAGCCCAACGCACAGGCACAGAUGUACCGCCUGACUCUGCGCUGCAGCAAAGACUCGGUGUCCCGGCGUCUGUGCGAGCUGCUGGCGGAGCAGUUCUAGAGCCCCGCCCCCACCAGCGCCCCGCCCCUCCUGCCACACCUCCUCCUCCUCCUCCCUCCAGCCAGGAAUCUGAGUAACACGAAAAAAGAAAAAGGUGUAACCUCCAUAAGGGAAACGCGGCGUGCUGCCGGCGGCGGCGGCGGCGGCCGUGAUGUGAUCCUCGUCCUCGUCCCGGAUUCUGAUUCUGAUUCCACUUCAUCUUCUACUCGUUUAUUAACAUGAUGCUACAUCUUUGGUUUUGUUGGUUUACCUGUGUAGCUGGUGUGUGUGUGGGUGUGUGUGUGUGUGUGUGUGUGUGUGUGUGUGUGUGUGUGUGUGGAUCAGAAAGGGCGCAUCAUUAUCUUUCCAGAUGGUUUUUUUUUGCACUUUUGCCAGAAACAACUUUAAAGUCAGAGCGACUGUGGACGUUCAUGGACGGAGGUGAAAGGCGGAGCGUCCGUCACACCGCCACCUGGCGCGCACGUGAAACAACACCGCCCGCACGUCAGCGCGCCACGGACACCACACGUGGCAGUUCUUUCUGGUUUCAUUUGCUUUACACAGUAAAAGUUCAAGAAAACCAGGCCAGAACAGAGGGAUGAGUCAGACCAGGCAGGAGGGGGAGGACAGCAGGUCUUAGUGUCAAAUAAACCUUAAACUGUUGAAGCUUUUUCUCUUUUGAACGCACCUAUUAAUCCUCUUUACCUGUUGGUAUUGCCGAACGACAUUAACAGAGUAAUAACGAGUCGCAUCCAGCUGUGUUACUCACAGCUGCGCCGAGUUUACUGUUGACCUUCACAAUCUGUCUGCAGAGGUCAGAGGUAAAGAGCCCCAGUGGACAAAAGACAGUUAUUGAGUCCUUAGCAGGACAUUUACAGCGUUCACCAGUCCUUUACGACUCGUUAACACUGCGUCAACGAGUUGUUAAGGACUCGUUUUCACUGCGUUAAGGAGUAGUUAACACUGCUAAAGACUCGUUAAGGACUCGUUAACACUGUUAAGGACUCGUUAAGAUCUCGUCAACACUGCGUUACGUAACGCUGCGUUGUCGACUGGCGCCUUCAGCUGCUCGCUCAUGUUCGUGGUUGAACUGCAUGUUGUAAAUCGCUCCGUUGUGAUUGGAUCCAGUUCAUUCCGUGUUUGGUGUUUCACAAACCCUCAUUAAAAGUUUUGCCUGAAACUUCACCGCAGCGUGAUCUGGGCGCAGCGGUGUGACGGUGUGUUUCUCUGGGUUUCCAUGGCGACACACUGGCAGCAGGCUGGCCGCUGUUAGAGGCGUAUUUUGGUUCACAUUCAAGCGUCAACGUUCAACAUUUGUUGUGCAGAAACAAUCGAAGCAUGUCUGUAUGCGCUCUGACCAGCGAGGUACGACUGGCUGUGGUCGUGUGACGACAGCUGAGCCGUUUCCGUGACAACUGAGUGACGGUGGCGUGAGCUCUAAAGUCCUGGAAAAGCCGAAGUGACCUUGAGAUGCUGUGUAGCAGCGCCAGCCGCCGCACAGGCUCUGUAGAACAAGCCAGUAGAACGGCCCCGUUUCCAUUUCAGGUACUUCCUUCUUCUGCUUUUAAUUUGAAAGAAACGGCCGGCUGAAGAUGACACCUGCUUUGUCGAACACUCUGUUGCCUUUUCUUGUUAAAGAGGAUUCAUAUUUUCCUUGGAGCAUACAGUCACGUUGUCAGUUUUAUAUUGCGAUGACCAAUCACUUUUAUACUUCAUUAAAACAUUUAUUUCAA